ACCACGGAGGGGGUUAAAAGGUGUGUUUGUUUUAAAUAGGAAACUCUCAUUUCAAUCUGUGUUACAGAAAAGCACCUGGUGUUUGGAGAAUGACUGGAGAAGAAUGAGGCUGAGACAAGGUAUCUGUGAUUCCAAAAUGCUCUACAAUAUGUACCCAGAAAUGGAAUUCCUGGAUCAUAAGGUCCUUACAGAUAUCAAGAGACAAGUAUAUUUCUUCUUGGAAGCCAGAUGCCCUGUAAGAAAAUCCAACUCUUCAGAGACCACCACAUGAGGAAACCCACAUUUAUCAUAUGAAGAGACUGCACAAUGAAUGGAUGCCUGGACAGUCUCUAGCAGAGGCCAUCAGUCACGUGAUCGAAGAUGCCAUUUUAUUUAUCUUUUAAAAUCUUAUUAAUUUUGUUUUUACUUUUUUGGUUCUUUUUAGUUAUACAUGACAACAGAAUGUAUUUUGACAUAUUAUACAUAUAUGGAGCCUAACUUCCCCUUCUUGUGGUUGUGCGUGAUGUGGAGUUACACAGGUCAUGUAUUCAUAUAUGAACAUAGGGAAGUUAUGUCCAAUUCAUUCUACUGUCUUCCCCAUUCCCGUCCCCUCAGUACAAUCUGGUGAACCUCUACUCCCCUCCACCCCCAUUGUGAAUCAGCAUCCACAUAUUAGAAAGAACACACGGCCUUUGGUUUUUGGGGAUUGGCAUGAUAGUCUCCAGUUCCAUCCAUUUACUGACAAAUGCCAUAUUUUCAUUCUUUUUUAUGGCUAAUAUUCCAUUUUGUAUAUGUAUUAUGUUUGAAGAAGCCAUUUUAGAUGUUCUAGCCCCAACAGAUAUCUCCUAGAACAGAACUGUACAGCUGAUCCAGAAUCAUGAGAAAUAAUAAAUAGCUGGUGUAAGCCACUAUCUUUUCCGGUGGUCUGUUAGUGCAAUAAUAGAUAAUUAAGACAGGCUGUGAUAGAAAAGUCUGGCAAACCAUUUAUUAUUUUUAAGAAGUAAAAAUGUUAUAGAAACCUAAUAUUUGUAUUCUUAAAACUAUAUGUACUUCACUCUGAUUUUAUAUAACUUUUAAUGUUUAAUUCUUAAAUUACCUUAAUC